CUCAGAUGAACAUUCCUCAGAUGUCUCUCACACGCGUGCACUCAGAUGAACAUUCCUCAGACGUCUCUCACACGCGCACACUCAGGUGAACGUUCCUCAGACGUCUCUCACACGCGCGCACUCAGAUGAACGUUCCUCAGACGUCUCACACGCGUGCACUCAGAUGAACGUUCCUCAGAC